ACAUGCCUACAAAAUAGUGUUAAUUUACCAUAUCCCAUUAAAACUCCGCAGUUAAGCGUGCUCAAGCUAGAGUAGUACUGGGAUGGGUGAUCACCCGAGAAGUCCUAGUGUUUUACAUGCC
rnacentral:rRNA from 1 species